rnacentral:rRNA from 1 species
CAGCGCCACAAGUGGGGACCAGUAUUAUUGGGCCUAAAGCAUCUGUAGCCGGAUUAGUAAAUUCUUUGUGAAAUCAUGGGGCUUAACCUUAUGGCGUGCAGAGAACACUGCUGAUCUUGAGACCGGGAGGAGUUAGAGGAAUGCAAUGGGUAGUGGUAAAAUGCUAUAAUCCUUUGUAGACCACCUGUGGCGAAGGCGUCUAACUAGAACGGGUCUGACGGUGAGGGACGAAAGCUAGGGGAGCGAUCCGGAUUAGAUACCCGAGUAGUCC